rnacentral:rRNA from 1 species
UACAGAGGGUGCGAGCGUUAAUCGGAAUUACUGGGCGUAAAGCGUGCGCAGGCGGUUUUGUAAGUCCUGUCGUGAAAUCCCCGGGCUCAACCUGGGAAUUGCGAUGGAGACUGCAAGGCUGAGAAUCUGGCAGAGGGGGGUAGAAUUCCACGUGUAGCAGUGAAAUGCGUAGAGAUGUGGAGGAACACCGGAUGGCGAAGGCAGCCCCCUGGGUCAAGA